rfam:Stegodyphus mimosarum contig17850, whole genome shotgun sequence.
GCUUUCGUGGUGUAGUGGUCUAAAUUCUCGACGUCUAACCGAGAAGUCCGUGGUUCGAUUCCCGGCGAAGGCG